UCUUUCUCUAAUGUUUCCACCUUUAGAGUUGUAUGAUGCACCAGUCCUAUUGCCACUGCUUUCCCCCUUUUAAAAUGUUAAAAUUUUGGAAUUUGGGGAUUCCCUUCUACCAAAAUUUUAAAAUUUCCCUCUACCUUUGUUCGUGGGCCACUUUCCAUUUGCCUUCUUGUCUAUUUCAUUGAAGCGUACUUACAAAACGAUCUUCUCAUUUUCCUUAUCAACAUUCC
rnacentral:lncRNA from 1 species